AGUGAAUGACACGUGGAAGAACAAUGUAUUCAAGAAGAUGGAAUUUGGGGAUAUUGCUAGUUAUGUAGAACUAUGUACACGUUACACGUUCUCUCUGAUCAAAUUCUGUUUCUUUUCUGUGUCUUCACCGACUGGUGCGGUGAGCAGGGUAAUAUGGAGAGGGUCACCGUCACAAACUGAACUCUGUUUAUAAAAUUACGACAACGAUACCACAUUUUCUCAAUACUUAUUUAUUAUUUCAUUUUUUUAAUAUAUUUUUUACUUAAUCGUAGAAAAUCAUUAGUCUUUUUGUGGGUUGUGCGAGCAAUAUGGUAUAGGCCGUUCUGAAAACUCUACUUAAGGGUUUAUUCUAUGCUCCAAUCUGCAAGUGAAACUUAGUUAGUGCAUGACAUUGGCACGGAAGGUUUAUGUUGGGGAAAGUAAGUGAGGGAAUGUUAUUUAGAGUGCAUAUAGCACCGUAGAGGUAAAUUUGACUAUUUUUUCAUACAUAACACAUUAAUUUUGUAUCACUUUAGAGUUGUGCCUUAUUUUGAUGUUCUAGAUUUUUUAUCUGAAAUGGACUUAUGUAGAAUCUCACACAAAAUAUCCACAUUUAGUACUGUGACUGAAAAGUCAUUUUCAUGUGAUAUCAUGACCUAACGCGGAGAAGAAUAAUAGAUUAAAGGUGCAUGACGAAUGUGCAUUUGAGAUGACUUACAUAGCAAAAUCCCUUGAAAAUGUGAAUCUAUUUGUGUUGUUCUCGUUGUCAUAGCCUAAUAUAAUUGAAUUACUUAAUUAGAAUAAUAGACCUAUUGGGAUAUGAAUGUGCUUAAUGUGAAGUAUGUGGCAAAUGAUAGUGAGCCUAAUGAGACGAAUUUCUAAGAUAAAGAGGUUGUCCCUACUAUGGAGGUGGUAAGGAUGAAUAUCAAAGAAAAUAAGUAAAGUCAUACAUGACAUGUAAUAUUCACCCUGAUUUAGUACUUUAUUAUUUAAUUACACACUAGUUUGAUAAAUUUGUCAAACAAUGACAUUAAAAUUACAGGAAUAAAGAUUUAUUUUCUUUCUCA